GCUCUGGCACCGAGACCAGGAACUCCUGGGAGAAUGAGCAUCCUGCACCGCCGCUUGCCGACUGCUUGCCGGCUUCAGUAGCAGGAGCCUCCGGGAUGCUUCUGAAAAUAGAUGCUGCUGUCUGCAUCACGUACAGAUCUGUUGGAUUUCGGGCGAUUAUGAAUGACCGCCAGUCCUCAAGAGUUUCCUGCUGAAAACUGGGUUCCCGUCCCACUCAGCAAGUUGCAGUUUAUCGUCAGAGGCAAUGAGUUCAACCCCAAAGUCAUCGCGACAUGUUAAGUCAAACUUUCUUGUUUCUUAAGCUCAAUUUGCUCCUCUUUUACAUGGCUACUCAGUAGGGUGUCUCGAUCGAUUUUUCAUUAAAGCCAAGGUGCCCAUAUCCAGGGAAUUUACCCUAAUUAACUCCA